UAUCGAGUGGUUUGGUCCUGGA
rnacentral:siRNA from 1 species